GAAAAUGAUAUUAGAUGUUUGCUUGAGUAAUGGCACAUAUGAUUUUAAAUUUUUUGCUUCUUAUUUUCUAGGGUAUCUUAAUGAUGACAAUCAGAUUGGAGAUUAAUGAUGAAGUUUAUGUGUUUAAGGCUAUUAUACUACUUGAAAAAACUGUAUAAUACACAUUACAUUUUUAAAAGUUAUUAUUUUUCCUUCCUGUCAAUUAAAGGGAAGUUUUUUUGUGACAGAUGAGAGGACAAUACAUAUGAACUUCAAAAAGAAAGUUGAAAAAUAUUAUAUGACCAACCAACAUGGGAAAGGAUUUUUCAGGUCGCAAUUGUAUCAUCAUAUGGUCACAUGCUUUGUUUCCUAUUUUAAUAUGCACUUUAACUUGAUGUUUCUAUGUGCUAAAGCGAAGCAAAUAAAUGACUUGUGACAUAGGUAUAAAAUAAAACUUUAACUCCAUUUUCAAACACACGUACAAAAAGUGAACUAUAUUUGACAGCCACUACAUGUUUUUCAUAUAGGAAAAGUAGUGUUGUUUAUACCAAUUUCUUUUGCCGUAUAAAAACUAUAAUCUGUAGAGAAUUAAAAAGUGGCUUUUUUUUAAAGCACAAUAUUUUCCCCCAAGGCAGAUGGGAGAAUAUUCUAAAUGAAUUAUUAACCCAGAAGAAUUUAAGAAAAUUUCAUUGCACCCAGGAGAGGAAAAAAAAAGAAUCCAUCCUCCUUCUUGGUGAAGGGGAUAGGAAAUACGACCUGUCUCACUUUGAUCCAUAUUGAAGGCUUCGGAUUUCCUUCAUUCUCCAAGUGAUGCAAAACCAAGAUUCUCACCUAAGUGCUGAAACGACCUCAUAGCACAAAGGGGAGACAGAAAUUUUAAAAGGUAAUUAUGAAACAUAAAACAGAUGCUAAAAUGAAUAGAUGGGCAUAGACCUGUGGGACUGCAAAGCAAAACAAAUUAUUAAGGGUUUGAUGGUCAGUGUUAUCUAAACAUUGUGUAAACUUUUAAAUGUUUAUGAAUCCCAUCUCAGAGGUGUAACUAAUAUUUGUUUGUGUGUGUGUGUGUGUGUGUGAUACACUGAGCAACUGUAUACCACCUAGCAAGUGGCAUUCUUGCUUAGCGACUUACACUGGCCUGUUUACUCACCCUGCUGUAAAGAUCUUCAUUGUCCUUUCCGAAGGAUGUAUUUCUUCCUUACUCUACCCAUGGUCAGUAUAUAACCUUCUGGUAGUUCAAGCUGUCUGCAGCAAAAUCCUCUAAGGAAAGAUGGCUGUCUAACUCUUUUCUUCAGUCUUUGAGGUAUUACACAGCUCUCAGCUCUCUGUGGGCCCUUUAUCCGGAAGGCAGUCUUGGCUCCAAAGCAGGCAACAUUCUUGUAUCUGUGCACUGCAAUUCUAGUCUGCCCCUGUAAGUAAAAACACAUUUAUACUCUUUUUCUUAUAUGGAUAAUUCUUCUCCAAAAGUAUAUAACACCCCAAUUGUUCUUUGGUUCACUUUUAUUUCUGCUCAAUGAGCACAGGAGAGUAACUUAAGAUCACAGUCUCAUUUGUAACCAAAGAAAGGACCUCUCGUCUCACAAGGUCAUGGUAAAGAAAGAACAAGACGAUUAAAUGGAACUUAUUGUAAAAUUAUAUUAUAGUCCAAAAGGGAAAAUAUGGAGUGAUUUAUUAGUAAUCUUCUCACCCAAAGUUUAGAAAAAGCACUUUAGUAUUAGUGGCAAAUACUUUUAUAUUAAAUAUAGCCAUGCAUAUUUUAUGGAAUGUUGUUAUCAGCAGAUUAGAAAAUACAAUAUAAAAACAUGACAAAGAUAUCCAUUCUAAAUUAAUGUGGAAGAAAGAAAUAAAAUGAACUAUUUGAAUAUGACAAGGCAGCCCACAGGGUUUUCUGUGUGACACCUUUAGAAAUCUUCACAAGGAAAAUCAUGGCAAGUUUAAGAGCACUGCAGUGUAAAAAGAAAAAACAAAGACCAGUCACAAAAGAAAAUCGAAGUCAUAUUACACUAACAAUAGCUAAAUAAAGCUAAGUCCAGUGUUUAAAACUUACAAAGCCAUGAGAGAGGCAAGAACUAGCCUCAGUAAAAUACAGAUGCUGCACGUCUGCUGAAAAUUGGAUAGAAGCAUAUUUACUCCACUGUUUUCUGUGGAAUGUACUGAAAACAAUAAAAGUAACAGAACCUACGUUUUUUAAAAUAAUGAAACAUAUAAAAGAUUUUCUUAAAAAGGUCAAAAUAUGAAUAACCCUGUUUUGGAAUAUAAAGUCUCAAUAUUCUGAAGAUGUCAAUAAACUAUUUUUAACUUCAAUGCAUUUAUCAUAAAAUUUUAACAAAUGUGUCACUCUCUUUGUAAGUGAUUCUAGCAUUUCAUCUGGACAACUAAACAGGUGAGAAAAACAAAAAAAAAAUCUAAAAGGGAAGAUGAUUAAGGCAGACAUUACCAGUUGUAAAAUAAAUUUGCAUUAUUAAAAAUUAUAUAAUAUAGGUAAGCACAUUUAUAUAUUCCUAGUUAGGAGUAUAAAUCAAGAUAUUUCAAAAAGUAGAGUCACCAGAUUUUAUGGGAACUUACUGUCUACUAAAGAUGGCAUUCCAGUCAAUGGAGAAAAUAUGAAUUAAUUGUUAUAGUAAUAGAAAAACUGAGUAGCCAGAAAACAAUAUAAAUUUUCUUAGAGCAAAUAUCAUUUGAGCUGGAUGACUGAAUUACAUGUAUAAAGCAAAACAUGAUAAUGUGAAAACAAGCUAACAGAUAAAGUUGCUCCAGAGGUAAAUGGACGUAUCGCUUUGAACAAAAAGUAAAAUCCUGAUUUAUAAAUGUAAUUAAUGUAUCUGUUAAAAUUCUUUGUGUUAUACACAUUAGAAACUUGACUAACCAAAACAAGAUAAUAAUUGGUGAUAAAUAAUUUAAUUGAAGGAAAAGCUAAGAAGGCAAGAGGACAACCUAAAAAUGUUCAGGGUACAUUUACAUGACUCAGCUGCAACAGUUUCCAAAUUUGAUAAUUUAAAUUUCACAAUUUCAGAAGAGAAAAUCUAACGACCCAGUCUCAGUGAAGUGCCUUUGAAUAAAAAGUUCACUGUGGUGGAAAUGGGGUCCUCUGGCUACUGAUAGCGUGUCCCAUUUGCUGAUGUGAUAUCCCUGGACACAUAUGUUUGUAAGCCAGGAUUAGCCUUGGAUUCUAGAACAAGUUUUAAAUAAACAGCAUCACAAUAAAUGUAAUUGAAAAGUCAAAAAACAAAUAUAAAAGAAGGGGGGAACAUUGUACAACACAUAUGAUAAAGACUACAUUUCCACUUUUAAAAGAGAAUAAUAAAAAAUGAAUUAAAAUGGAAAAAAAAAAAAAAAAAAAGGCCGGCGCAGUGACUCACGCCUGUAAUCCCAGCACUUUGGGAGGCCGAGGUGGGUGGAUCACCUAAGGUCAGGAAUUCGAGACCAGCCUGACCAACAUGGUAAACCCCCAUCUCUAUUAAAAAUACAAAAUUAGCCAGGCGUGGUGGCACAGGCCUGUAGUCCUAGCUCCUCAGGAGGCUGAGGCAGGAGAACCGCUUGAACCCGGGAGGCAGAGGUUGCAGUGAGCCGAGAUCGAGCCACUGCACUCCAGCCUGGGUGACAGAGUGAAACCACGUAUCAAAAACAAACAAACAAACAAAAAAACAAAAACAAGCCAUGAGAGAAUGAAUAUCGAAAUCAGUAAGGGUGGAGAUUCUAAAGAGGGCAGCUCAGAUACAGACCUCAGCUCUACUCCAGUGUACCUGUGAACUGGAGCAAGUUUCUUUUCCUCUGGCGUGUUUCCUCACCAGAGGAAUAGGGAUAAAAAUGGCACACAACUCAUGUUUUUUUUGUAGAUUAGAUGAAUCAAUUCAAGCAAAAUAUUUACUUCAGAAUCCAGAAUGGAGCAAGCACUCAAUAAUAGGUUUACUUGUUUUGAUAAAUAUUAUUAUUAACCCCUUAGGAAGGGACAACUUAUUAUGUACAUAAAAGUUUAGAGGUGGCUGGGCGCGGAGGCUCACGCCUGUAAUCCCAGCACUUUGAGAGGCCGAGGUGGGCGGAUCACUUGAGGUCAGGAGUUCAAAACCAGCCUGACCAACAUAGUGAAACCCCGUCUGUACUAAAAAUAGAAAAAAAUUAGCCAGGCUUGGUGGUGGGCACCUGUAAUCCCAGCUACUCGGGACACUGAGGCAGGAGAAUCGCUUGAACCCGGUAGGUGGAGGUUGCAGUGAGUCAAGAUUGCGCCAUUGCACUCUAGCCUGGGUGACAGAGCAAGGAUCCAUCUCAAAGAAAAAAGAAAUGUUUAGAGGUGAAGAAUAUAUACAGUCAGUAAACUUACGGGGAAAAAAACAAAACAAAACAAAACUUCAUUGAUAUUUAAAGUGAUGCAAUUUUAAACAAUUAGAGAAGUCUCAUUCUGCUUAUUAGAUUGCUAAAAAUUAAACAAUACCAACUAUCGCUGAGAGUUUUCAUUUGACCCUAAAUCGCUACAAACUUUUUAAAGGCAAUUAUUAUAAUAAUAACUCCAAAAGUAAGAUGCACGCAAAACCGUAUCAGUGACAGAGAUAUGUUGCCUUAGGAUCAGAAGCACACCCCACCAGCACCCUGGACUACCUGCUCUUUGCUUUGUCAGUAGGCUUACAUUGUGCUUGUCCAAGGCUGCUGUUUUCUGUUUUCUUUUCUUUUUCUUUUUUUUUUUUUUUUUUUUGAGACGAAGUUUCGCUCUUGUUGCCCAGGCUGGAGUGCAAUGGUGUGAUCUCGGCUCACUGCAACCUCGGCCUCCCAGUUCAAGCAAUUCUCCUGCCGAAGCUCCUGGGGCAGGUGGGGGGUGCCUGUGAUGGGCUCCUGAUCUCCCAGGCGGAUCCGAAUAAAUGUCAAAGUUGGCAAGACCAAACCCUAUUAUCAAGUGCUAUUGAAGCCUAGGUAGUAAAUAACGGGCGAUAUCUGCUUGGCUGCAGGUCUCAGCCUUGAACUUCAUUCUAGCUUCACCGAGAAACCUUGAAUUUGUAGGGUUUAGGAUAGUUCCCAUCACUCUUAAAUCACUUAUUUUCCCUUCCAUUUGUCUCAGUGUUUCCUCAUACACUACUUAAAACACAUUGAAGAGACAAAUGGUUAAUACCUCAAAUUUCCAACUUAAUCUAUUUCUAUACAUUCAUCUACAAAUUGAGUCAAAUAAAUAAGGGAAUUUAUAUGUACAGAAUUUUCCUU
rnacentral:lncRNA from 1 species